CAGUGUUUCCAGCCGUGUGCUGCUAUCAGGAUAACAGAUUCUAUUCGAACUUAUGCAAACAAUCAUAUUGCCAUGAAAAAUAAGAACACUCACUUAUCAAGAGUUUCCAAAUUCUGGAGGGAUCAGGUAGGGAGAAAAAGAUCAACGCUUCAAUUCUGCUUACAAAUUGCUAUAAGUCAUAUUUAGCUUAAGAGAAAAGAUUUCUUUAAAUCUGGAAAAGCAAAACAUUAGAACGUCUUCCUCAAUUCACAUAGCCCCAUGCAAUUUAAGAUUUCUUCUGCUUGAAUCCAGUUUUUCCAUUAACUUUCUUAACUUUGCCUGAUGAUUGAGGAUGAUAGGAGCCAAGAAGUUUUAAAAGUCCAAGAAGUUUAAAGGAUUUUCAUUAAAGUUUGCACGGUUUGCUCAGUGACGCAGGUGCCUUGAUCACUGGAGACUGUGGAAGGCAUGCCCCAAGUUGGAAAUACAAUUAUCUUUUAUUUUUUAUUUUUUUGCUGAGGAAGAUUAGCCCUGAGCUAACACCUGUGCUGCCUCGGUCUUGGGGUGGCCAGGUUUUAAAGGUAAAAGGUGCAGAGUACGCAAGGUUAAGGCUGAGUCCCAGUUCUGAUUGGUCACCCUUUUCAGCUACAGUUUAUCUUGUGUCCGGGGCUUUCUAAAUGUUCUAACUGCAGGGAAAUACUACCGAGUUGUUCUCCGGCCAUCUGGUGACAGUGAAGGUUAAAAUGUAGGUUUUUAUUUCUGCCCAUAGUUCAGCCUUGAGGCGGUCAUGGUAAUCAUCACGUCGACUCUGGCCUCGUUCUUUUCUCUUUCUUUUAUCAGCUAUAUAAGCCCAAGUUCUAGCCACCCCUUUGAGUUACUCAUCCCUGAGUUGCUCCCACGUAUAUAUGAGAUACACAUGCUAAUAAACUUCUGUUUAUUUUUCUCUCAUUGAUCUGUCUUUUGUUACAAAGCCCUAACCGUGGAGAACAUAGAAGGGUAGAAGGGAAAAGACUUUUUUCCUCCCCUACAGAUGUUCUCAGGAAGUUGGGGGUAAUUCUGUGACUGGGUAGCUGAACAAAUCUUACCCAGAAGGAGGGAAGAAUAGGGCCAUAGCCAAAGCUGUAACUGGUAAAGUAGCAGCAGUUACCCAUAUUAGAGCAUCGAGGAUGGGGGGGGGGGGUGUUUGGUCAAUUUUUCUCGUUUGGACACUAUAUUCUUCUUCUUUGUCUGAGUUCGGACGUGACUACGGAGUGGUCUUAUUUCUGUCUUGAUCCAUCACGGUCACAUAGCGGCCUUGUCUGACGGUGACGUUCUGUGAGAUCGUUUACAUUCACCGGGAGACCACCACGGCCUAGCUGUGGGUGGCAGGCCAGCUCCCGGGGCUGCUUUUGUCUCUCGCAAAAUCUAAGAUGCAUCACAGGAUCUUAGCGAUCUUAGUUUCCCUCUCUCUCGAAAAAACUUACUGUUUUCAUCAUCCUAGGAAUAUUUUUUUUCUGCAGCUAUUCACCAACCCCCAACUAUAACGGAAAAGUCUACAAGACUAACGAAAUGGAGGAAUGAAGGAGUCCCUUACAGGAUUGAUGCAACAGUGGAGCGAGUCGUCCCUAUGGCGUGAUCCUUCAGUUUUCUUCUUGUGUCGCUAAGAAAAGGUAUCGAUCAAAUCCUCUUUCAGGAAGGUAAACAAGCAGAUGGGAGACAGCUCUUUGUAGUCUGAUUUUUGCUUUCUCUGAA
ensembl:lncRNA